rnacentral:rRNA from 1 species
GACGAACGCUGGCGGCGUGCUUAACACAUGCAAGUCGAACGGAAAGGCCCUGCUUUUGUGGGGUGCUCGAGUGGCGAACGGGUGAGUAACACGUGAGUAACCUGCCCUUGACUUUGGGAUAACUUCAGGAAACUGGGGCUAAUACCGGAUAGGAGCUCCUGCUGCAUGGUGGGGGUUGGAAAGUUUCGGCGGGUGGGGAUGGACUCGCGGCUUAUCAGCUUGUUGGUGGGGUAGUGGCUUACCAAGGCUUUGACGGGUAGCCGGCCUGAGAGGGUGACCGGGCACAUUGGGACUGAGAUACGGACCAGACUCCUACGGGAGGCAGCAGUGGGGAAUAUUGCACAAUGGGCGGAAGCCUGAUGCAGCAACGCCGCGUGCGGGAUGACGGCCUUCGGGUUGUAAACCGCUUUCGCCUGUGACGAAGCGUGAGUGACGGUAAUGGGUAAAGAAGCACCGGCUAACUACGUG